GACGGAGGGAGCAAGCGUUGUCCGGACUUACUGGGCGUAAAGGGUCCGUAGGCGGCGCGGUGCGUCGGUGCUGAAAGCGCCCCGCUUAACGGGGCGAGGCGUGCCGAUCCGACCGGGCUAGAGGCCGGCAGAGGGUGGCGGAAUUCCGGGUGUAGUGGUGAAAUGCGUAGAGAUCCGGAGGAACGCCUGUGGCGCAAGCGGCCACCUGGGCCGGACCUGACGCUGAGGGACGAAAGCGCGGGGAGCGAACCGG
rnacentral:rRNA from 1 species